rnacentral:rRNA from 1 species
UUAUCCUCAUAAGUUAGACGAUAUGAAGAACCACUGAAUGCUAUAUCCUUUAUUUUAUAAGGGAAAUAUAAACUUUUCUUUAGUUUAAGGAAACUUAUUCUAUUGAAUAAAUAUAGUCUUUGCCCCAUUAUUCCUUUUUGGAGAUAUUGAGGUGGAGACUGUAGUAGUAGCAUUUUAGUGGUGGCACAGAAUCGGAGGCCCCGACUGUUUACUUAAAACACAGCUUUCUGCGACGAAUAAUAUCUUUGUAUAGAAAGCGAAUUUUGCCCGAUGCCAUUAAUAUAAGGUCGAUAAGCGCUUAGCGUAAUUAUUGGCUGAAGUUCUGGUCAAUGGCGGUCUUAUCUAUGAGGAUCCUAAGGUAGCAAAAUUAAUUGUCCAUUAAAUGUGGUCCUGACUGAAUAAAGUAACGAUGGUCUCGCUGUCUCUACAAGUAUCUCAGUGAAAUUGAAUUAGCCGUGCAGAUGCGGUUUAACUUCGGGUAGACGGGAAGACCCUAU